rnacentral:rRNA from 1 species
CGGGGUGAGUAAUGUAUGGGGAUCUGCCCGAUAGAGGGGGAUAACUACUGGAAACGGUGGCUAAUACCGCAUAAUGUCUACGGACCAAAGCAGGGGCUCUUCGGACCUUGCACUAUCGGAUGAACCCAUAUGGGAUUAGCUAGUAGGUGGGGUAAAGGCUCACCUAGGCGACGAUCUCUAGCUGGUCUGAGAGGAUGAUCAGCCACACUGGGACUGAGACACGGCCCAGACUCCUACGGGAGGCAGCAUG